GGGGGAGGCAAUCUGGAUGUAAUAUCUGUUUUCCCAUUGAUUACCAGUAUUGAUUUGACUGAUUAGGUUACUUAGAUGGAUUUCCCUUUCCUCUCUCAUUCUUCCAUGUGUUCCCCAAAGCCCUGCGUUUAGUUGGAAUGGACAGUGUUCACCAAUCUGUGUAUUGGUAUAUCAUCAAC
rnacentral:snRNA from 1 species